UAAGAUCUUCAGGGCGGGGUGUGAAUCCCCACCGGUGGUAUAGCCCACGAGCCGCAAGGUAUGAUUCGGUGAAAUUCCGAGGCCGACAGUACAGUCUGGAUGAAAGAAGAUAGAG
rfam:Clostridium sp. CAG:7 genomic scaffold, scf210